rnacentral:rRNA from 1 species
UGGGGAAUCUUGCACAAUGGGCGAAAGCCUGAUGCAGCAACGCCGCGUGCGGGAAGACAGCCCUAGGGUUGUAAACCGCUUUCAGCAGGGAAGAAACUGACGGUACCUGCAGAAGAAGAUGCGGCCAACUACGUGCCAGCAGCCGCGGUGACACGUAGGCAUCAAGCGUUAUCCGGAUUUAUUGGGCGUAAAGAGCUCGUAGGCGGUUCGGUAAGUCGGGUGUGAAAACUCUGGGCUCAACCCAGAGAGGCCACUCGAUACUGCUGUGACUAGAGUGCGGUAGGGGAGCGGGGAAUUCCUGGUGUAGCGGUGAAAUGCGCAGAUAUCAGGAGGAACACCAGUGGCGAAGGCGCCGCUCUGGGCCGUAACUGACGCUGAGGAGCGAAAGCAUGGGUAGCAAACAGGAUUAGAUACCCUGGUAGUCCACGCCGUAAACGAUGGGCACUAGGUG